rnacentral:rRNA from 1 species
UACAGAGGUCUCAAGCGUUGUUCGGAUUCAUUGGGCGUAAAGGGUGCGUAGGCGGCGCGGUAAGUCGGGUGUGAAAUCUUGGAGCUUAACUCCGAAACUGCAUUCGAUACUGCGGUGCUUUGAGGACUGGAGAGGAGACUGGAAUUCAUGGUGUAGCAGUGAAAUGCGUAGAGAUCAUGAGGAAGACCAGUGGCGAAGGCGGGUCUCUGGACAGUUCCUGACACUGAGACACGAAGGCCAGGGGGAGCAAAACGGGG